rnacentral:lncRNA from 1 species
GAAUCCGUCAAAAGUCAAAAUUGAAAUCCGUUAUCUUCUCCGUUCACCCCUCAUUUGAUUCAAAAAUUGAAUUGAAUCUCUUCAAGAAUAAUCACUUUAAAAACUCCGGCACCAACACUCUUUCCAUAUUAUUUUCAUUUCUCUUGCUUUUCUAUGAAGACAUAGGCAUUGCUUGUGAUCGUAUUCCGCCGUCACCAUUCGUUUUCCCCUUCCCCACCGUUAUCCGUUUGAUAGGGUUCGCCAUCCCCACUGCCACAUUCUACUUCAUUAGACUCCAUCUUAGAUCGAUUGUUUUUCCGGUAAGUCACAUCGCCAUCGUUACUCUUUUGCGUUCUGCUUUGCCAUCGACUUGCUUUUCUUCUUGGUGUGUUCAGUUUACUUGGAUUCACCAAGGUACCACUUAAUCUUCAUAUUUGGUAACACUUUUCUAUUAUAGAAUGAUCAAUAAUCUGGUUCUAUGCACUAUGUUCUAAAGAAAACCCUAAACAUAGAUCUAUUAUACAUUCAUUUUACCAAUCUUGAAGUUGUGUAUAUAUCUCAUGGUACAAGUCUAUAAUCGAAUCAUUUUAUAUUGAUUUGAUUUUAUUGCUAAUUUCAUUCAUCUCAGACCUUUCAUGCCCCAUUAUCGCCCCUAGCAAGUCAUUAUUGUUUUGACUUGGUUCAUCGCCCCAGUGAUUACAUUAUAGAUUUCAUUUUUCAUGUUUUUGUUGUUUUUAUUUCUCAUAUUUCUUUGUUAUUAUCAUUUCCUAGGUACAAAUCUUGACCCUCUUUCCUUAUUCGUUCAAAUAUAAGUAAGAACAAAGUGUAUCUCUUUUGUUUCAGUGUUUGAAUGUGUGUGUGGCAGGGGCAUGUGUAUCUGUGUGUGUCUAUGAAUAUUCUUGAUUUUUGGCAUGAUAUCACAACCAGGUGUUUAGUAGCUUCAAAAUUUGAUAGUGAGCUAAUGUAAUCAGAGUGGGAAGCACAGGGAGAGUGAUCAAGGUUUGAUUCCUCUUUUUUCCGGCUUAAGGAUUGAUUCCUCUUUUUUUUUCCUAAUGGUAUUUUACGUAAUAAAUUUUGAUUUUAUGGGGGAUUAUAUCAAAUCCCAUAAAAUCAGGCCCCACUUAAUUUUAGGCAUUGAAAUGGUAAUUUUGAUGCAUUUUCUUUGUUUAUAUUGUUUUCCCCUUUCUCGUGCCUAUGCAAUUGUAAAUGAUUCAUUGGUUUUGUUGCAAAUAUGUUUCCUCUCUGCCACUCACACACACUACCACAGAUCUGGUACUUUCUCUCAACCAACUUCUCUAUCUAUUUCUAUAAAGUUUCAUUAAUUUUGAUUUUUUUUCCUUUUGUUGUUUGAUUUUUAACUACGGAUUUGUAGGUUAAAGGAAAAACUUUUUGGGGAAGGCAGAUAUAUAUCUCUCUCUAUUACCGAACUUGAUUAUGAUUUAAGCUAUAUUUUGCUUCUUUAAUUCAAUCAUGACUUUAGGAUGCAAUUAUCUUUGAUGAGGGGUCAGGAAAUGUGUUCAAUGGAUCGAGGCCAAGCAACAAUAAAAAUAAGAAGAAAUUGUUGGCCUGUUAAGUCGUAAAGAAAAUAGAUUGAUGCUCUAGAUAUGGUGCUUGAUUAAGUAAAAGGUUCGAUUCUAGAACUACAUUGAUUGUUUUACUAUGGGAGGGGGUUACUCUCCAUUUAUUUGUACUUAAUUGAUUUUUUAGAGGCAUGGUUUAUGGUUUUCUAGGGAGCAGGUAGGCCUUUCUUUGCAGCACUACAAAUGGUUUAUUUUUGGAAUUCAACCUAAUUUUUGUCACUUAAAUGGUUUGAGCAUUUGGACUAUUUUUAUACAGCUUUAAUAGUUUAUUAGUUUUUAACUAAUUUUGGUGUUAAUUCUAUAGAUUCUAUUGGGCUUGCUGCAUCUUUGGUGUUGAUUUGUUACUUGAGCCUACUAUACGAUUUGAAGUCACAACCUGGAGGUACAACUUUAUUAUUUUUUAUGAUAUUUGUUUUGUGUAUUCAUUUUAUUUAUAUUUUUACUUACUUCAUGAAUUCUAAUUCUUUGUGUUCAUUAGGAAGUUGGGUCUUAUCUGAUGAACGAAAUUGGAACAGUCAAGAAAAUCAUAUGAGGGCAUUAAAGGAAUUAGUGAAGUUCUAAGCAUUAAUAAUAGGAUAUAUGGUGACAAACCAAGCACUGCUAUUUCUUCUUCAAGCUUACAUGAAUAUGGGAAAAAAACAUGUAGGCUUCUAUNNNUUGUUUUAAAGAACACUAAAAAAAUUUCUUAAACAAUUUCCAAUUACUUUAGAAGAGUGAUAUGAUGUUGAGGUCAAAAGCAUGAAAUAUCAUUUUACUAUUAGAAAAUCGGAUUUCUGCAUAUAUUCCAAAAAAAUUAAUCAAAAGAUUUUUAGAAAAUAUGCAGAAAAUUGGAUUUUCUACUUAUCUUUCAGAAAAAACAUGAAUUUACAAAAAAAAAAAAUAAAUAAAUAAAAUAUAAUAACAUAGAAAAAAUAUUUAUAAAGUAACAUAAUACUUUUGAAAAAUUUGAUUUU